AGUGAACGCUGGCGGUAGGCCUAACACAUGCAAGUCGAACGGCAGCACAGUAAGAGCUUGCUCUUACGGGUGGCGAGUGGCGGACGGGUGAGGAAUACAUCGGAAUCUACUUUUUCGUGGGGGAUAACGUAGGGAAACUUACGCUAAUACCGCAUACGACCUACGGGUGAAAGCAGGGGAUCUUCGGACCUUGCGCGAUUGAAUGAGCCGAUGUCGGAUUAGCUAGUUGGCGAGGUAAAGGCCCACCAAGGCGACGAUCCGUAGCUGACCCGAGAGGAUGAGCGGCAAAACGGGACGUGAGACACGGCCAAGACGGCUACGGGAGGCAGCAGUAGGGAAGAUUACGUAAUGGGGGAAAGCCUGACGGAGCAACGCCGCGUGAGUGAUGAAGGGCUUCGGAUCGUAAAACUCUGUUAUUAGGGAAGAACAAAUGUGUAAGCAAGUAUGCACGUCUUGACGGUACCUAAGCAGAAAGCCACGGCUAACUACGGG
rnacentral:rRNA from 1 species